GGGAAACAGGUUAAUAUUCCUGUACUUGGUGUUACUGCGAAGGGGGGACGGAGAAGGCUAUGUUGGCCGGGCGACGGUUGUCCCGGUUUAAGCGUGUAGGCUGGUUUUCCAGGCAAAUCCGGAAAAUCAAGGCUGAGGCGUGAUGACGAGGCACUACGGUGCUGAAGCAACAAAUGCCCUGCUUCCAGGAAAAGCCUCUAAGCAUCAGGUAACAUCAAAUCGUACCCCAAACCGACACAGGUGGUCAGGUAGAGAAUACCAAGGCGCUUGAGAGAACUCGGGUGAAGGAACUAGGCAAAAUGGUGCCGUAACUUCGGGAGAAGGCACGCUGAUAUGUAGGUGAAGUCCCUCGCGGAUGGAGCUGAAAUCAGUCGAAGAUACCAGCUGGCUGCAACUGUUUAUUAAAAACACAGCACUCUGCAAACACGAAAGUGGACGUAUACGGUGUGACGCCUGC
rnacentral:rRNA from 1 species